CUAAAAUGGCGGCGGGGCGCCCGCCCCUGGGGCAGCUGGGAGGGCUGYGUGCCUGGGAGCGGGCUCCCGCUGAGGCCCCGCGCUCGUCCCGUCGCGCACCUGCGACGGGCCUGGCYCUCCUUGGCCCAAGGGAGCUCGCGGGGAUUCGGAUUCGGGUUCGGGUUCGGGUGCUGGAGCUCCCUCUUCCUUCCUUCUCUGCCUUGUUCAGUAUCUAGCUCCUGAAAGGUGUCCUGGCUCCUGUGCUGCCCUCCCUCCGUGGCAGCCCUCUUCCUCCCUGAUGUGUUUGGUUUCUUUAUAUUCUUCUUCCUCUUUUAAUGUGUCAUGUUUCUUUCAGACCUCAGUUUUCCCUUAAGAGCCCUUUYCCCACCCAUUCUGUUGUCCUUGCAGAGCUUCAGCCACCAGUCUUAUCUUCUGUUUAAGCAAAAGUUCUCAAUAUUGUUCCAAGAUUUUUGGGUGCCUCACACCUCAGUUCUAUCUCCUUGUGCUUUGUAGUCCCAGACAGUGAUUUUGUGUGUGUGUGUGUGUGUGUGUGUGUACCAUACUUGAGGGUAGCUCCACUGUGAGCAUCCUCCCAAAUAACGUUUUCUGGCUCUGCUUUUCUUGUAUUUCUCUGCUCUUUUUGCUCCUGGUGUAAUGUGGCCCUUGGGAUUUCCUUGGUUUCCACCCCAGAGUGUUUUGUCCUCUCCAGAAGUUCCUUCGCCUGGUUGCUUGUAGAAAGAUGGAGUCAUAUUUGGUAUUUCACUCCCUAGGAGUUACCUUCAUUGUGGUUAGCACACUCAGCCCGCUACCGUUCAAUCACAUCCAACCAGUGCAGCAAGCCAUACGAUACAGCAAACUCCUGCAUGGCAAAUUUUAUGUUCCCACUGUCAGGCCAAUACAGCUGUUGCCUCUGGAGCAUGUCAGACACAGCGGGGACAGGACUAUGGUUAUGGAAGUCAGCAGUGGAAACCUAUUCCCUAGCCUGUCAUAACACCAAAAUUACAGCAACCAGCAUCUGGAAGCAAUUGUGAGAGCAAGUAAUAUUACCAGCCAGUACCUGCUCAGCUGCAGCAUACUGCCAGGGAUUUGUACUACCCACCAAAUGAGUGCUGCUGGAGCCCAGCGUUCAUGUAUUCUGUAUGUAUUGGCUUUAUUUUAAAGCUUGUGCAGUAUGGGUGACUUUAAAUGGGUUCUCGAACRUGUGACACUUAAACACUAGGGCCACCACUACUUCCUGUGGUCAUGGAAGGGGAUGAGCCUCCUACUCAGAAUUUCAUUCUGGAAAAGCCUCUUCCUCUCCACUAAUAGAAAGAGAAUAACUUCUUCAGUCUGUUUCAUGCCAAGUGUUAAAUUCUCCUAAACAGGCUAUUUUUAAUGCAUUUUCUAAAACCGAAAAUAAACUCUGAAAUCAUUUUCA
rnacentral:lncRNA from 1 species